rnacentral:misc_RNA from 1 species
GGUUCGGGACUCGCUUCGAUCUUUCGCUCGGCCUCUCCUUUUGGAGACGUCGUCGGACCGUUCGGUGUGUCCCGGCUGGUGAUGGGACGACGCAUGAGUGGCGAUCGAGAUGUGUUUCCUUGCAGGCUCCAUGCUUUUGGUAUCGAACUGCAUUGGCUUAUCUUCUUCAUUACGGAGCUUGCGUUUCCGCUUCUAGCGUUGAUUGCGAUCGCUCGUUGGGUUCCUGCGUUUCAUAUCGAAUUCGACAUUUGGAUGGRCUUCUAGUCUCGUCUCGGUUUAUCUAUCCCCGCUCGCCUCGUGCGUUAUCGGUGGUAAUUCUGUUGGCAUCGACGUUGGUCUUACGAGCCGCAGUGAGUAAUGUCGAGAUGUGUUCGUGACGGCACGUCGAUGCAGUCGGCUCUCUCGGGUGCAAAGAAUUUCUAGUCAUCGCAUCGGUCCAAAGACCCUUGUGAGCGUAACGUUUUGAAGCAUCGUUGCUUUUGCUUUUACGACCCUCGUUCUCGUCCAGGUGCUCGCGGAGCUUGUUCGUUCUGCGUUGUAACUGGAGAGUCAUCGAGGUCGAGGACGGAAUCUACCUGGUUGAU